CUGCUCAUUUCAGCAGCAUAUAUACUAAAAUUAGAAUGAUAUAGAAAAUAUUAGCAUGGUUCCUUUGCAAGAAUAACACACGAAUUCAUGAAGCAUUCUGUAUUAAA
ensembl:snRNA U6 U6 spliceosomal RNA